GGCGACAUAGCCAAGUGGUAAGGCAGAGGUCUGCAACACCUUUAUCCCCAGUUCAAAUCUGGGUGUCGCCUCCA
rnacentral:tRNA from 1 species